rnacentral:snRNA from 1 species
GUGCUCGCUUCAGCAGCGUGUAUACUAAAAUUGGAACGACACAGACAAGAUUAGCAUGGCUCCUGCACAAUGAUGACAUACGAAUUUGUGAAGUGUUUCAUAUUUUU